rnacentral:rRNA from 1 species
UACGAAGGGGGCUAGCGUUGUUCGGAAUUACUGGGCGUAAAGGGCGCGUAGGCGGUUUUACAAGUCAGACGUGAAAGCCCCGGGCUUAACCUGGGAAUGGCGUUUGAUACUGUGAGGCUAGAGGACGGGAGAGGAAAGCAGAAUUCCUAGUGUAGAGGUGAAAUUCGUAGAUAUUAGGAAGAAUACCGGAGGCGAAGGCGGCUUUCUGGACCGUAACUGACGCUGAGGCACGACAGCGUGGGGAGCAAACAGG